CAAGGCACGCAACCGCUGACACGCUGUCACAUAGCUGCACAUCCACUUAUGUGAUGAAUCAUCUUAAUAUGACACUGAUUUAAGUUCUCUGUGGUCCCGUUUAGAGUGCGAAACUCAAUCCCCUUGUUUCAUAACUCAGAAUGACUUUGCAGAUUGUAUUUAACUCUGAGGUGACCUUAUAAAAAGACAGAAAAGAGAGAGAGAAAGGUCUGGCUGAAAGUGGGAAAAUCUUGCUGUUAAUGAUUGAAAAAAAAGAGGUAUUACUCGUAGCACGAGUGAAGACUUAAUAAAACAUGUCACACUUAAUGACGCACAAAGGGGAAAAAAGGAGAGUAAAAAAGACUUUAAGCACUGCACUGGCAACUUUUACCUCCCUCAGUAUGGAAAACCGAUGUGUGUGCACAUGAGUAUGAGCCCGGGGUGUCUGAAUUGCUUAUUUUAUCAGGUGCACUGGUGCUCUCCCUCCAAAAAAAAAAAAAGAAAAAAGAAAGUAAAAGACCCUGACUCUUUCUUCCUGGCUGCCAAUCAGUCUCUGUGACAGCGUUUGUCUGCUUCCCUUUUCUGUUUGGCUCCCCACCAGCAGAACAAGCUUGUUAUAAGAAAAUGAUUUCAUGGGGUUAUUAGCGUUUCUGUGCCUUAGUCAUACCUACAGGAAAAGAAUGAGUGUGCGCACACAUUCGGGCAGUAAAUAAAUAAAACUAGAGUAAGAGUAAAAAGGUUUGCACAUCCACCCUGGAGCCUGAAGAAGAUCCUUUUAUGAAUGAAGCGCUCCCUUUACAAAAACAGUGUAAGCAUUCAAUUAUUAUGCUGGAGCUACUUAUGGUUCAGACUACAUUUUAGUUCCCUUAUCCUUGUAGUCAUAUAACAAUAGAGUUCAGUGAACAUACUAAGCAUGCGUGUGGCUGUUUAUAAGCUGCAUCAGUACCUUCUGUGCGAAACAAAAGUGCAUAAUAAAGACCCUGUGUUAGCACUUUUGAAGAGUCACCACACUCUAGUAGAGCACAGCACUAUUAGAAGCAAAGCACAGAUGCUGACUAAAAGUAUAUAUGUGCAGCUGCACGUUUAGCUUUCCAAUCAGAUAAGUUCUAAUAGCAAAAGAGGGCCCCGGUGCAUGAUAGGAAUCUUAUGACGGAUUAGCUGAACCACAGCUCUUGCCACACUGUUUAAGAUUAGCACCAGAAAUAUUAGACAUUUGGUUAUAAGAGGAAAAAAAGACAGAAAGAAAAAGCAAAAAACAAAACCUCAGUACAGAUUGAAUUAAAUCUGAUCAUCCCAAAAUGGUAAGACAUUUCCUGAAUGGAGUGCAGAGAAAGAGGAAGACAUGCAGCGCAAGCAUGUGCUCUUCCUUUAGGAGUGGGCAGCUUAACAGCUCGCCAUCAGGUAACAAUCUUUUUAUUUGUUUCAGUCCCUCGCUGGGUGCCAAAGCCUGCUAAAGGACUAAGUGUGUGGUGCGAUCCAUCAGCCCCGUCCAGGAGCUUCAGCGUGGUAAUCCAUCUAAAGCAGAGUCAGAAUAGAAUUAAAUAAAUACUUCCAUGCUCUGCAACCCC
ensembl:lncRNA